rnacentral:rRNA from 1 species
CCUACGGGUGGCAGCAGUGAGGAAUAUUGGUCAAUGGAGGCGAGUCUGAACCAGCCAAGUAGCGUGAAGGAUGACGGCCCUAUGGGUUGUAAACUUCUUUUAUACGGGAAUAAACUGUUUCACGUGUGGGUUAUUGUAUGUACCACAUGAAUAAGGACCGGCUAAUUCCGUGCCAGCAGCCGCGGUAAUACGGAGGGUCCGUGCGUUAUCCGGAUUUAUUGGGUUUAAAGGGAGCGUAGGUGGAUCGUUAAGUCAGUUGUGAAAGGGUGCGGCUCAACCGUAAAAUUGCAGUUGAAACUGGCAGUCUUGAGUACAGUAGAGGUAGGCGGAAUUCGUGGUGUAGCGGUGAAAUGCUUAGAUAUCACGAAGAACUCCGAUUGCGAAGGCAGCUCACUGUAGUGCUACUGACACUGAGGCUCGAAGGUGUGGGUAUCGAACAGGAUUAGAUACCCGAGUAGUC